rnacentral:lncRNA from 1 species
UUCGAACUUCUAUAGUACCAUCCGGACUCCUCCAGCAGUCGACCUUCCAUAGUGUCCUCCAAAUUCCUCCAACGGACGAACUCCUAUCGUACCCUCCGGACUUCUCCAAUAAGGAGCUCCUUCAGUCAUCUAUCGGACUACUCCAAAUGCUCUCUGGGCUUCACUAUCAGCCAAUUUUCUACAGUGAUCGACUACUCUCCAAAUCUCUUCCAGACUUCCUCCUAUCACGAUC